rnacentral:rRNA from 1 species
AGUCAUUUUCUUCCCCGACGAAAGAGUUUUACAACCCAAAGGCCUUCUUCACUCACGCGGCAUCGCUGCAUCAGGGUUUCCCCCAUUGUGCAAGAUUCCCCACUGCUGCCUCCCGUAGGAGUCUGGGCCGUGUCUCAGUCCCAAUGUGGCUGGUCUUCCUCUAAGAACAGCUAUUGAUCGUUGCCUUGGUAAGCUUUUACCUUACCAACUAGCUAAUCAAGUGCGGGCUCAUCUUUCGGCAUUAAAACUUUCCCCGUAAGGGCUUAUUCGGUAUUAGCACAAGUUUCCCCGUGUUAUUCCAAACCAAAAGGCAGAUUCCCACAUUAUACUCACCCGUUUGCCACUCAGUAUUGCUACUGCGUUCGACUUGCAUGUGUUAGGCGUGCCGCCAGCGUACGUUCUGAGCCAUGAUCAAACUCUAAUCACUAG